CCUACGGGUGGCAGCAGUGAGGAAUAUUGGUCAAUGGGCGCGAGCCUGAACCAGCCAAGUCGCGUGAGGGCAGACGGCCCUACGGGUUGUAAACCUCUUUUGCCGGGGAGCAACGUGCGCCACGUGUGGCGCCACUGAGAGUACCCGGAGAAAAAGCAUCGGCUAACUCCGUCCAAGCAGCCGCGUUAAUACGGAGGAUGCGAGCUUUAGCCGGAGUUAUUGGGUUUAAAGGGUGCGUAGGCGGAGUGUUAAGUCAGUGGUCAAAUUGAGGGGCUCAACCCCUUCCCGCCAUUGAAACUGGCGCUCUUGAGUGGAAGAGAAGUAUGCGGAAUGCGUGGUGUAGCGGUGAAAUGCAUAGAUAUCACGCAGAACCCCGAUUGCGAAGGCAGCAUGCCGGCUUCCUACUGACGCUGAAGCACGAAAGCGUGGGUAUCGAACAGGAUUAGAUACCCUUGUAGUC
rnacentral:rRNA from 1 species